rnacentral:rRNA from 1 species
GAUGAACGCUGGCGGCGUGCCUAAUACAUGCCAGUCGAGCGAACGGACGAGAAGCUUGCUUCUCUGAUGUUAGCGGCGGACGGGUGAGUAACACGUGGAUAACCUACCUAUAAGACUGGGAUAACUUCGGGAAACCGGAGCUAAUACCGGAUAAUAUUUUGAACCGCAUGGUUCAAAAGUGAAAGACGGUCUUGCUGUCACUUAUAGAUGGAUCCGCGCUGCAUUAGCUAGUUGGUAAGGUAACGGCUUACCAAGGCAACGAUGCAUAGCCGACCUGAGAGGGUGAUCGGCCACACUGGAACUGAGACACGGUCCAGACUCCUACGGGAGGCAGCAGUAGGGAAUCUUCCGCAAUGGGCGAAAGCCUGACGGAGCAACGCCGCGUGAGUGAUGAAGGUCUUAGGAUCGUAAAACUCUGUUAUUAGGGAAGAACAUAUGUGUAAGUAACUGUGCACAUCUUGACGGUACCUAAUCAGAAAGCCACGGCUAACUACGUG